rnacentral:rRNA from 1 species
AUUGAACGCUGGCGGCAUGCCUUACACAUGCAAGUCGAACGGUAACAGGGAGCUUGCUCCGCUGACGAGUGGCGAACGGGUGAGUAAUGUAUCGGAACGUACCUUUUAGUGGGGGAUAACGUAGCGAAAGUUACGCUAAUACCGCAUAUUCUCUGAGGAGGAAAGAAGGGGACCUUCGGGCCUUGCGGUAAUAGAGCGGCUGAUAUCAGAUUAGCUAGUUGGUGAGGUAAAGGCUCACCAAGGCGAGGAUCUGUAUCGGGUCUGAGAGGAUGAUCCGCCACACUGGAACUGAGACACGGUCCAGACUCCUACGGGAGGCAGCAGUGGGGAAUUUUGGACAAUGGGGGCAACCCUGAUCCAGCCAUGCCGCGUGAGUGAAGAAGGCCUUCGGGUUGUAAAGCUCUUUCGGCCGGGAAAAAAUCGCAUGGGUUAAUACCCUGUGUGGAUGAUGGUACCGGAAUAAGAAGCACCGGCUAACUACGUGCCAGCAGCCGCCGUAA